rnacentral:rRNA from 1 species
CCUACGGGAGGCAGCAGUGAGGAAUAUUGGUCAAUGGACGAGAGUCUGAACCAGCCAAGUCGCGUGAAGGAUGACUGCCCUAUGGGUUGUAAACUUCUUUUAUAUGGGAAUAAAAUGUUCCACGUGUGGGAUUUUGUAUGUACCAUAUGAAUAAGGAUCGGCUAACUCCGUGCCAGCAGCCGCGGUAAUACGGAGGAUCCGAGCGUUAUCCGGAUUUAGUGGGUUUAAAGGGAGCGUAGGUGGAUUGUUAAGUCAGUUGUGAAAGUGUGCGGCUCAACCGUAAAAUUGCAGUUGAAACUGGCAGUCUUGAGUACAGUAGAGGUGGGCGGAAUGCGUGGUGUAGCGGUGAAAUGCUUAGAUAUCGCGAAGAACUCCGAUUGCGAAGGCAGCUCACUGGACUGCAACUGACACUGAGGCUCGAAAGUGUGGGUAUCAAACAGGAUUAGAUACCCUUGUAGUC